rnacentral:sRNA from 1 species
GCUGAGCACGGUGGUGCAUGCCUAUAAUCCCAGUGACUUGGAGGCUGAGGCAGGAGGCUUGCAAUUUUGGGGCCAGCCUCAGCAACUGAGGCCCUAAGCAUCUUAGCAAGGCUGUCUCAA